GCGCAACCCUUGUCCUUAGUUACCAGCACGUUAUGGUGGGCACUCUAAGGAGACUGCCGGUGCAAACCGGAGGAAGGUGGGGAUGACGUCAAGUCAUCAUGGCCCUUACGGCCUGGGCUACACACGUGCUACAAUGGUCGGUACAAAGGGUUGCCAAGCCGCGAGGUGGAGCUAAAUCCCAUAAAACCGGUCGUAGUCCGGAUCGCAGUCUGCAACUCGACUGCGUGAAGUCGGAAUCGCUAGUAAUCGUGAGUCAGAAUGUCACGGUGAAUACGUUCCCGGGCCUU
rnacentral:rRNA from 1 species